rnacentral:rRNA from 1 species
GUGGAUUAGCUACCCCAGUAGUCCACGCCGUAAACGAUGAUUACUAGGUGUUGGGGGUCGAACCUCAGCGCCCAAGCAAACGCGAUAAGUAAUCCGCCUGGGGAGUACGUACGCAAGUAUGAAACUCAAAGGAAUUGACGGGGACCCGCACAAGCGGUGGAGCAUGUGGUUUAAUUCGACGCAACGCGAGGAACCUUACCAGCGUUUGACAUCUUAGGAAUGAGACAGAGAUGUUUCAGUGUCCCUUCGGGGAAACCUAAAGACAGGUGGUGCACGGUCGUCGUCAACU